ACCUCCACUGGCUGGGGCGGACAUGCGGGGCCCUUGCCUCCGUGCUGUGGGGGCGCUUCUCCCCCAAGCCCGCAUCUGUGGCUGAGGCUUCCAAGUCUUGACAGAGUUGCUAAGAAACGGGAUAGUGCCCUCGGGGUAUAAAUGAGUGCUUCCCCAGGCAAAGAGGCGUCCCAAGCAUUUGAAGAGGGACACAGCUGCACCUAAAAACUAUGGCCGUUGCCAAACCCCGGAUGUAGCCGCAGUUUACCAAGAUUCAGAGGUCGUCACGAACUUCAAAAGUAGGCUGUUAGCUGAGAAGUUUUUAUAGGCCUGUGGCCUCUUAGUCUGUGGUCCAGGACUACUAGAAAAUGGAUGCAAGGCAUCUAAGUAACCGCUGGAAAUAAGAACCACGGAGUUGCCACUUCGGAGCUCCACCUCUGGGUUCCCUCUCGGCUACAUGCACGAGGAGGGCAGCUUUCCCUCACUGACUCCCUAAGGCUCGGUCGGAAUUGCUGCCUCGUAGGGGCUGUGUAGGAAGACCUGGCCAGAGAAGCUGCUGCAGGAACAUUCUCCUACCUUCCGCCUCUGUUCUGCGUUGUUCUCUGCCUGUGAUCAGAAAGAAAGCCGACUCAGAAACCACUGAAUGUUGAGCUUCUCUGUCUCAUACUAGUCAGGAACUGGAGACCUCUCAGAGACCUUCUACAAAAGAAUGGAAACAGGGAACUCCAGAAGGUCUGCAGAGUCAAACCAACCAAUCAUUUUUUUGCCAAGAAUGGAGGUUAAAACAUUAGGCCUUAAUGUGUAUCCUGGCUCUGUAAUCUACUAGACCUGUGGCUUUAGGUCACAACUGGGUGGUAGACCAUUUCCCUCUUGAAAGAUACUGGAACUCCUGAUGUCAAGCAGGAAAGAAGGCAGAUCCUCAGGAGGACUUAGGGACAGAGGAGCAGGCUGUAAGCAGAUUGGAAGGGGGAUUCAAGCUUGCUUUUCUUGUCCUAUAUUUUGAUGAAUAAAUGUAGCUAAUAACAGUCCUCCCAGUAGAAGGGAAUAGAGUCUUUGAAAUGCGAUUUAGGAAGGAGGUUGUGCAGGGAAAAUCAGAACUAGAGAUAAAGGAUCAUAGUUUCCCAAGUUAAUCAGAUUCAUAUUGCUGUAGUUUUAGUCUCCUUUUAUUAUUCCCCAGCAUUGGGGCAAAAUUUUUCUUAACUGUUUAGCCGUUUCUCAGUUAUAGGGUAUGGAGAGAAGCUUCGUGUAUCAGGGUUUGAUCAGAGGAACAAACAACUAGGAGUUAAAUAAGCAUUAAGGGAUUUAUUAUAGGGAUUGGACCACAAACAAUUAUGGGAUCUGGUUAAACAGUUUAUGUGAAGCUGUUGGCUUUGCAUCUGGUGCUGGAUCCUGAAGUAAGUAGGGCAGGAAAUGAGGUAGGGAAGAUGGACAGGAAUUGAGGGAGAACAGAAACAAACCAGAACCCACAGAGGCUGACCAGAACCCACGUUUGUUUCACUGUCUCAAGACUCACCGUUUUGAUGAGACAGGGCCCGGCAGAGAAGCUGGUGCUCAGAACCCUUAUAUUAGUCUACAGUUGGGCAAAGUCAUCUAACACAAAACCUCCUUUAUAAUCAAGUAUUGAAUAUGUCAUGUAAUUUAUUGAAUACUGUACUGAAAGUGAAAAACAGAAUUGUUGUAUGGGUACAGAAUGGUUAUAAGAGAAUCACGUGUGUACAUUUCUGACCACAUGGCAGCCUGGGAGCCACAGAGACUGCUGCCCAGCAUCACACGAGAGUGUCGCACCACACAUCGCUAGCCUGGGGAAAGAGCAAAACUCAGAAGUCAAAAUCUGAAGUACAGUUUCAACUGAAUUCAUAUAGAUCGCACCAUUAUAAAGUUGAAAAAUUGUUACAUCGAACCAUCGCAAGCCAGGGGCCAUACUGUUGCUGAAACCAAAUGGGACAGUUGGGAUCGUUACCAUUUUAACCUGCAUGUACAAUAGUAGGCAAACAUUCAGCUCCGAGCUUCCUGGGAACCAAGGUCAAGGGAAGAUCUAUAUUUUACAUAAGAGAAAAGGUAUUUGACAUAUAAAGGCUUGUUACCUCAUGAGCAAGGAUAAAUACAUCAGAUUUGCUAGCUAUCACCUUCACACUAGCUCAGGCUCUUACCUGUACCACCAAUCUCUAGCUUCACUGAUUGCAGUGACCUCCAAAAUGUGUAUUCUGCCUCUAUUCUUGUCUCCCUCCAAUCUAUUCCUCAACUUACAGAAAGAUUUGGGGGGGGGGGGAAGAAAGCAAAUAUGGCAAUGACUUGCU